UACGAAGGGGGCUAGCGUUGCUCGGAAUUACUGGGCGUAAAGGGCGCGUAGGCGGAUAUUUAAGUUGGGGGGUGAAAUCCCGGGGCUCAACCUCGGAAUUGCCUUCAAAACUGGAUAUCUUGAGUUCGGGAGAGGUGAGUGGAACUCCGAGUGUAGAGGUGAAAUUCGUAGAUAUUCGGAAGAACACCAGUGGCGAAGGCGACUCACUGGCCCGAUACUGACGCUGAGGCGCGAAAGCGUGGGGAGCAAACAGG
rnacentral:rRNA from 1 species